rnacentral:rRNA from 2 species
UACGAACUGUGCAAACGUUAUUCGGAAUCACUGGGCUUAAAGGGUGCGUAGGCGGUCAUUUAGGUAGGGUGUGAAAGCCCCCGGCUCAACCGGGGAAUUGCGCCCUAAACCGGGUGACUGGAGUGAGAUAGGGGUGUGUGGAACUUCCGGUGGAGCGGUGAAAUGUGUUGAUAUCGGAAGGAACGCCGGUGGCGAAAGCGACACACUGGGUCUCAACUGACGCUGAGGCACGAAAGCCAGGGGAGCAAACGGG